GCCUGGCUGGCUCAGUUGGUAGAGCAUGUGGCUCUUGAUCUCAAAGUUGUGAGUUCGAGCCCCACCUUGGGCG
rnacentral:tRNA from 1 species